rnacentral:rRNA from 1 species
AUAUUAAUAAGCGGAGGAAAAGAAACUAACAAGGAUUCCCCUAGUAGCGGCGAGCGAAGCGGGAAGAGCUCAAAUUUGUAAUCUGGCGCAAGCCCGAGUUGUAAUCUAUAGAAACGUUUUCCGUGCCGGACCGCGUCCAAGUCCCUUGGAACAGGGUAUCAAAGAGGGUGACAAUCCCGUGCUUGAUGCGACACCCGGGCUUUGUGAUACGUUUUCUACGAGUCGAGUUGUUUGGGGAUGCAGCUCAAAAUGGGUGGUAAAUUCCAUCUAAGGCUAAAUAUUGGCGAGAGACCGAUAGCGCACAAGUA